CAGCUUGUUGGUGAGGUAGUGGCUCACCAAGGCGACGACGGGUAGCCGGCCUGAGAGGGCGACCGGCCACACUGGGACUGAGACACGGCCCAGACUCCUACGGGAGGCAGCAGUGGGGAAUAUUGCACAAUGGGCGAAAGCCUGAUGCAGCGACGCCGCGUGAGGGAUGACGGCCUUCGGGUUGUAAACCUCUUUCAGCAGGGAAGAAGCGAAAGUGACGGUACCUGCAGAAGAAGCGCCGGCUAACUACGUGCCAGCAGCCGCGGUAAUACGUAGGGCGCAAGCGUUGUCCGGAAUUAUUGGGCGUAAAGAGCUCGUAGGCGGCUUGUCACGUCGGUUGUGAAAGCCCGGGGCUUAACCCCGGGUCUGCAGUCGAUACGGGCAGGCUAGAGUUCGGUAGGGGAGAUCGGAAUUCCUGGUGUAGCGGUGAAAUGCGCAGAUAUCAGGAGGAACACCGGUGGCGAAGGCGGAUCUCUGGGCCGAUACUGACGCUGAGGAGCGAAAGCGUGGGGAGCGAACAGGAUUAGAUACCCUGGUAGUCCACGCCGUAAACGGUGGGCACUAGGUGUGGGCAACAUUCCACGUUGUCCGUGCCGCAGCUAACGCAUUAAGUGCCCCGCCUGGGGAGUACGGA
rnacentral:rRNA from 1 species